GCCAGCAUGGCUAAUGGUUUGAGUGUUGGACUGUGACGCUGGAGCCAGGGUUCGAUUCCCAGCUCAGCCA
rnacentral:tRNA from 1 species